rnacentral:lncRNA from 1 species
AAGCGAGAAGAUCAGGAUUGUCAAUGCUGUCAUUGCUUUUACUGGAAUCCCCAGCACGAAUUGAAGGUCUCACUUUGCCACCUAGGCUGGAUGCAAUGCAACGGUAUGUUGAUCUUGGUUCACUGCAGCCUCAACCUCCUGAGCUCAUGUGAUCCUCCCACCUCAGUCCCCCACGUCGCUUGGAUUACAGGCCUGUGCCACCACACCUGGCUAACUUUUUUUGUAAUUUUUGUAGAGACAGGGUCUCACUAUGUUUCCCAUGCUGGUCUUUAAUGCCUGAGCUCAAGCCAUCCGCCUGCCUCGGCCUCCCAAAUUGCUGGGAUUACAGGCAUGAG